rnacentral:rRNA from 1 species
CCUACGGGAGGCAGCAGUGAGGAAUAUUGGUCAAUGGGCGCGAGCCUGAACCAGCCAAGUCGCGUGAGGGAUGACGGCCCUACGGAUUGUAAACUUCUUUUGUAAGGGAGUAAAAUACGCCACGCGUGCCUUUUUGUAUGUACUCUAUGAAUAAGCAUCGGCUAACUCCGUGCCAGCAGCCGCGGUAAUACGGAGGAUCCGAGCGUUAUCCGGAUUUAUUGGGUUUAAAGGGGGCGCAGGUGGAUUGUUAAGUCAGCGGGAAAAUUUUGGGGCUCAACCUAAAAGAGCCGUUGAAACUGGUAGUCUUGAGUGAAUGUGAGGUAGGCGGAAUGCGUGGUGUAGCGGUGAAAUGCUUAGAUAUCACGAAGAACUCCGAUUGCGAAGGCAGCAUACUAAAGUGCAACUGACGCUGAUGCACGAAAGUGUGGGUAUCAAACAGGAUUAGAUACCCGUGUAGUC